UGAAGUUUUCUUUUAGAGAUUUAAAAUUUGAUCAUGGUUUAAAAUGAUUUAAAAUGGUAUUAUCUAAAUUUGAUUUACGGAGUGGACAAUGAAAAUUUAUCCCGGCAAAUUAUCGCUUGUAAAAUACUUGUUCCAGAAUAAUCGGCUAGACUUGUUAAGCUUGUACUUUAAUUGUUGUUAACUAUAAAUAUAAAUAUAUUACUUUAAGAGUUUAAGGUAGAAUUAGAACUUUUUUAAGAAAAAAUUUAUAGUUUUAAAUUUUGUUGAACGAAUUAGAUUAGUACCUAAUUAGACAAAAAUUAAAAGAGCAGGAGUAAAGUUGUGUUUAAACUGAAAAGAUAUUGGCAGACAUUCUAAAUUAUCUUUGGAGGCUGAGUAAUAAUUGAGAACCCCCAUUAACUACUUAGUUUUUAGACUCAUGUAUGAUCGUUUAUUUUAUUCUUAAGGUUAAUAA
rnacentral:rRNA from 1 species